UACGGGGGGGGCAAGCGUUGUUCGGAAUUACUGGGCGUAAAGGGCUUGUAGGUGGCCAACUAAGUCAGACGUGAAAUCCCUCGGCUUAACCGGGGAACUGCGUCUGAUACUGGAUGGCUGGAGUGUGGGAGAGGGAUGCGGAAUUCCAGGUGUAGCGGUGAAAUGCGCAGAUAUCGGGAGGAACACCAAUGGCGAAGGCAGCUCGCUGGGACGGUACUGACGCUGAGACGCGAAAGCGUGGGGAGCAAACAGG
rnacentral:rRNA from 1 species